rnacentral:tmRNA from 1 species
ACGCACGUGAAUGAAGGUAAGCUGGAGGCCUCGCGGACCCGGGUUCGAUUCCCGGCGGCUCCACCA